UGAACAGCCUUAAGGAAUGGGCUCGAACUGCUCUUUGGUUCUUUGGUUCCUGCUGGGGUUGUGCUGGGACUCACUCGACCAGAUCCUUGCUGCAGCUCCGGGGCGUGCCACUUGUUCUGCUGCUGCCCUCCUGUAGGGUCAAAGAGCCACAUCCCAUCAAAGUUAGUAUUUAGUCAAAAUACUGCUGUAUGUGCAGCACAGUAGUGCCUGAAGCCCUGCCCUCGUUUGGUGCCUCGGUGCCUUGGGAAUACGUACAUGAACCCAGCAGCUCCUGCCCCAGGGAGGAGACAUUAAACUUGGAGCAGCACAUCCGCAUCCUGCCUCUUAAAACCAAUCAUCAUUGGAUAAAUAUUGACUCUGUAGAUUGCAACCUGAAGUAGAGACAUUUAUUUAAGUUCCUUUGAUCCAUUUUCUUUCUGUACUUGUUUGCAAAGAAUAAAUAUUGGGCGAUAUGCGUGUACCACUUUUUUUGAAGAUACCAGAGUACUUCAAGCCCACAAUCAAAUUUGAUAAAAAACUCUUAGAUUCAGACCUACUAUUUUUUCAGCUGAUAGAAUAUUUUUGUGCAUUUUAAGAGAGCUAGAAUCGGGUUUAUUUGAACUCAUAACUCUAGACUUGGUUUUCAGCGUUUGCUGUAACUGCGUAACAUGCAGUGCUGACCAGCUUUUCAGUUAGUUUUUUGGCCUUGAAUUUUCUCAUAUCUGUUUAAAAAUGAAACCAAAUAUCUUCAUUUAAAAUACUGUCACAAUAAUUGCAAUAAGAUGAGUAGCUGUUUAAGGACUCAAAACCUACAGCACAGUUAAUAAGGCUUUCUGGGAAAAUGCUACGGCUGGAGCAGCUCUUUCACAGAGGUCAUGGCGUGGAGCCAGGGGAGGCUGGUAGACAGCUAGGCAACCAGGAAAGAACAAGUUUGUCAGCAUGUACAGCUGAUUACUGUGAGAAUAAUUUUCCAUAAGCAUAGCCUGCAUGGUGUUUGCUUAAGAGGGGUUUAAUUUUUCACUAAACUCCCUAGCAGCUAAGUCGUUUUAAACUGUGGCAGAAAGUCAUUUGUUCAAAUCAGAUGAAAUAAGGGGCAGUAUGGUUUUUAAUAAUAUCACAUUGCGGUAGGAUGAGGUAGGAUAUUUCAAUAUUUAUAGGCAAUAUGGGAUCAUUCCUGUAAUGAUACAUUAUGACAAUUAUUUUGGUUAGGGAAAUGUUUUGGUUUCUAUUAGCUACUGUGAUCAUUUCUAAAAUGUCUCAAAACUAGAAAAUGUGAGAAGUUACCCUUAGUGUGAGAAGAUACAGCCUUUAGUCACUGCAUUCUCCUGCUUGCGAAUGCCAUCUCGAUUGCCAGCAUGUAAGAAAUUCAUAAGAAAGAAAUUCAUUUUAUUUUCUAGG